CAGCUCAACUAGCUAAUUGCUUACAGCUGAGAUAAUUGUCCACAGGGGUUUCUUGUCACCUAUCAAAGCUGUCUCUAAGACUCUUCUGCGGUGUUUGGUCCACAGCCUUCCGGGCUUUUAUUUAACAGGACAAAGGUUGCAGCAUUCCUCAGAGCCUCCUAAGAACCUAGAUCCUUGCUUCCUGACUCAGGAGACGCACGACUUUGGGAAGUCUGGCUUCCCCCACCAGCGCUUCUGCACCCUUUCAAGGUGAAACUCGGUGAUGUGUGGCUCUACUUGGGUUGACCACGCUGGUCCGAACUUCACUGAGGAUAAAUCCUUAAGUGUUUAAUAAGUGGAUUGGACAGACAGCAGGAGCUGAGUUCAGGAGGUGGAAAGCUUGCUGAGACAGAAGGCAGACCCAUGUCUGGAAGGCACAGAGGGGAAACACCAGACCUCUGGUAUCCAACCUUAUCAUCCCGCCCAGGGCCGGUGAAAUCCGCACAUUCUGAGCUAUCAAGCAUAAAGUGCCAAUGAGAGUAGAAGCGGUCAGAGAAGAAAGUGUUCACGGUGGGCCUAAAGCAGCUGUAAGAAAAUGAGACCAGCAAGCUUAACAUGAUGCUUAUGUUAUGCUUCCUUCUGAUGCGAACAGCUCCUCGUACGUUUCCAUAUGUCCACUUAAGGAUCCAGUGGUCUCUCCAUCCAUUUAACAGACCUACAUGUGCCAGUCUGUGUUCACACGGAACCCACAGGCCUAUGGAAGGGCUGCUGUUUCAAUAAGACAGUGACAAGCAGUGACAUUUGGGGGAACUGUGGCUAAGAAAGUCAGAGUGGCAUAGGGAGCCGCGACAGAAACUCAGCCCAAGUGAGAUGUUGGGGAUGUUUUUUGGGGGAAUACACUUACUUUGAGACUCAGAGGAAAACAAGGUGUUGGCUUCACAAAAGUGAAUGCGAACGGGACUGGAACUUCUGUUUUGUAAUAUCUACCUUCCUCUUCCCUACCAGUCAGUGAGUAAUGGUCCCUAUCCUCACGACACUCGUGGGAACUUGGCACUUAUCUUGGCUGAUUGCCUUACAUCUGGUUUGGUAGUGUUGUGUUUUAAUGAACCAGGCUCUAGAAGCCCCAAAGUUCCACAAAGGUCAAGAGGUCAGAAGUGAAGACAAGAAUGCAUGUCUGUUCCUUGAGAAAGGCAAAGAAACUGAGCAGAGAGAUUGCUGGGCCUCCUUUCCCUCAUCCAGACAGACCAGCCCUGCUUUACUCUUUACACUGGAAACCAGAGUUGUGUAUCAUCGGCGGGCGGGCAAGUUUCCUCUACUUAAAAACAACCUCCA